rnacentral:rRNA from 1 species
AAAGGGCUAGAAAUUGGGUAAGUAAUUAAUUAAACCAAAAUAAUAGGUGUAAGAUUUAUAAAUUAUAAAGUGAGACUAAAAUAAAAAGUUUAACAUAAGCUGGUUUUUUGGCUUAAGUUAAAAAACCAUGUAAGAAUUUAUUAUAAUAGUUUAAAGUAUUGAAAAUUAGUAGGUUAAAAAUAAAGGAUAAAUUUGUGCCAGCAUCUGCGGUUAUACUGUAUUUGUGAUCAAAAAUAAUUAGAAAGGCUAUUUAAAGUUUAGUAAAUAAAAUUUUUGGUGAAAUAUUAGUAAGAACAAAUAGACUAAAAUUAAGUCAGGUCAAUUAGAACCAGGAUUAGAGACCCUGUUACUUUAUUAAAGUCUAAGGAAUAAAGUUAUAAAUUAUAUGGUUUGGCGGCUUACUUAAUUUAGAGGAGUUUGCUAUAAAUCGAUAAGCCUCGCUAGUUUUUACCUAAUUUAAUUUUGUACACCAUCAUUUAGUUAAUCUAAUAAAAGAUAGUUAAGACAAGUAGUCAAAUAAAUUAGAUCAAGGUGCAGACAUAAAAAGGUAAUAGUUAAUUACAAUAUUAAGUAAUAAACAGAAUUAACUUAACAAAUAUAAAUAAGUGGAUUUAGUAGUAAUUAGUUAUAUUUGAUUCUAAAAGGUUAGUGUACAAAUUGCCCGUCAAUCUCUUAGGGAUAAGUCGAAACAAAGUAGAAAAACCUGAAGGUUUUUCU